AUUGAACGCUGGCAGUAGGCCUAACACAUGCAAGUCGAACGCGAAAGUCCUUCGGGAUGAGUAGAGUGGCGGACGGGUGAGUAACGCGUAGGAAUCUAUCCUGUAGUGGGGGGUAACGUUUCGAAAGGAACGCUAAUACCGCAUACGCCCCAAGGGGGAAAGCGGGGGAUCUUCGGACCUCGUGCUAUAGGAGGAGCCUGCGUCGGAUUAGCGAGUUGGUGAGGUAAAGGCUCACCAAGGCGACGAUCCGUAGCUGGUCUGAGAGGAUGAUUAGCCACACCGGAACUGAGACACGGUCCGGACUCCUACGGGAGGCAGCAGUGGGGAAUAUUGCGCAAUGGGCGAAAGCCUGACGCAGCCAUACCGCGUGUGUGAAGAAGGCCUUCGGGUUGUAAAGCACUUUCAGUGGGGAGGAAAAGCUGGUGGCUAAUAUCCAUCGGCCGUGACGCUACCCACAGAAGAAGCACCGGCUAAUUCCGUGCCAGCCGCCGCGGUAAAAC
rnacentral:rRNA from 1 species